AGAGCGAACGCUGGCGGCAGGCCUAACACAUGCAAGUCGAACGGACCCUUCGGGGUUAGUGGCGGACGGGUGAGUAACACGUGGGAACGUGCCUUUAGGUUCGGAAUAGCUCCUGGAAACGGGUGGUAAUGCCGAAUGUGCCCUUCGGGGGAAAGAUUUAUCGCCUUUAGAGCGGCCCGCGUCUGAUUAGCUAGUUGGUGAGGUAAAGGCUCACCAAGGCUACGAUCAGUAGCUGGUCUGAGAGGAUGACCAGCCACAUUGGGACUGAGACACGGCCCAAACUCCUACGGGAGGCAGCAGUGGGGAAUCUUGCGCAAUGGGCGAAAGCCUGACNCAGCCAUGCCGCGUGAAUGAUGAAGGUC
rnacentral:rRNA from 1 species